AGUGAACGCUGGCGGUAGGCCUAACACAUGCAAGUCGAACGGCAGCACAGUAAGAGCUUGCUCUUACGGGUGGCGAGUGGCGGACGGGUGAGGAAUACAUCGGAAUCUACUUUUUCGUGGGGGAUAACGUAGGGAAACUUCCGCUAAUACCGCAUACGACCUACGGGUGAAAGCAGGGGAUCUUCGGACCUUGCGCGAUUGAAUGAGCCGAUGUCGGAUUAGCUAGUUGGCGGGGUAAAGGCCCACCAAGGCGACGAUCCGUAGCUGGUCUGAGAGGAUGAUCAGCCACACUGGAACUGAGACACGGUCCAGACUCCUACGGGAGGCAGCAGUGGGGAAUAUUGGACAAUGGGCGCAAGCCUGAUCCAGCCAUACCGCGUGGGUGAAAAAGGCCUUCGGGUUGUAAAGCCCUUUUGUUGGGAAAGAAAAGCAGCAGGUUAAUCCCCCGCUGUUCUGACGGUACCCAAAGAAUAAGCACCGGCUAACUUCGUG
rnacentral:rRNA from 1 species